AUUGAACGCUGCGGCAUGCCUUACACAUGCAAGUCGAACGGCAGCAUAGGAGCUUGCUCCUGAUGGCGAGUGGCGAACGGGUGAGUAAUAUAUCGGAACGUGCCCUAGAGUGGGGGAUAACUAGUCGAAAGACUAGCUAAUACCGCAUACGAUCUACGGAUGAAAGUGGGGGAUCGCAAGACCUCAUGCUCCUGGAGCGGCCGAUAUCUGAUUAGCUAGUUGGUGGGGUAAAAGCCUACCAAGGCAACGAUCAGUAGCUGGUCUGAGAGGACGACCAGCCACACUGGGACUGAGACACGGCCCAGACUCCUACGGGAGGCAGCAGUGGGGAAUUUUGGACAAUGGGGGCAACCCUGAUCCAGCAAUGCCGCGUGAGUGAAGAAGGCCUUCGGGUUGUAAAGCUCUUUUGUCAGGGAAGAAACGGUAGUAGCGAAUAACUAUUACUAAUGACGGUACCUGAAGAAUAAGCACCGGCUAACUACGUG
rnacentral:rRNA from 1 species